GCCAGUGUUGUGUAGUGUUUUGACCACUGGACUAUGACUCUGGAGACCAGGGUUCAAAUCCCAGCUUGGCCA